rnacentral:rRNA from 1 species
CCUACGGGUGGCAGCAGUGAGGAAUAUUGGUCAAUGGACGAGAGUCUGAACCAGCCAAGUAGCGUGAAGGAUGACUGCCCUAUGGGUUGUAAACUUCUUUUAUAUGGGAAUAAAAUGUUCCACGUGUGGGAUUUUGUAUGUACCAUAUGAAUAAGGAUCGGCUAACUCCGUGCCAGCAGCCGCGGUAAUACGGAGGAUCCGAGCGUUAUCCGGAUUUAUUGGGUUUAAAGGGAGCGUAGGUGGAUUGUUAAGUCAGGUGUGAAAGUUUGCGGCUCAACCGUAAAAUUGCAGUUGAAACUGGCAGUCUUGAGUACAGUAGAGGUGGGCGGAAUUCGUGGUGUAGCGGUGAAAUGCUUAGAUAUCACGAAGAACUCCGAUUGCGAAGGCAGUUCACUGGACUGCAACUGACACUGAGGCUCGAAAGUGUGGGUAUCAAACAGGAUUAGAUACCCGAGUAGUC